GACGUAGGGCGCGAGCGUUGUCCGGAAUUAUUGGGCGUAAAGAGCUCGUAGGCGGCUUGUCACGUCGGGUGUGAAAGCCCGGGGCUUAACCCCGGGUCUGCAUUCGAUACGGGCAGACUGGAGUGUGGUAGGGGAGAUCGGAAUUCCUGGUGUAGCGGUGAAAUGCGCAGAUAUCAGGAGGAACACCGGUGGCGAAGGCGGAUCUCUGGGCCAUUACUGACGCUGAGGAGCGAAAGCGUGGGGAGCGAACAGG
rnacentral:rRNA from 1 species